rnacentral:lncRNA from 1 species
GCAGAAGAAAGAAUGGAAGAGCCCAAGGACACUGAGGAGAGCUUGGAAACACUGUCUUCUGGACAUGGCAUGGCUUCACACCCAGGAACUCACAGCAACUAUGGUCAGCUGCACACACCUGCACGAGAUCAAGCCAGCGAAACAGUCCAGCAGGGAUACGGCCAGAGCCUAACAGACCCCAGUUCCUAGCAGAGGAACCAUGUGCAAUCGAUGGUUGCUGCGGAAGAUGGUCGUUUUUCCUUGUGGAUUUGCAUUGGUAGGUUCCCCACCCUCAUGCAGGCAGCACUAACUGGACUCAGUGAAUUAUAGAAGGAAGGGGGAGAGUAAGAAGAGGAGAUAAGGCAACGUUUAGGGCAAUUUGGGGAGAGUGAGAAAAAAAGCUGAAGGUAAAUAUAAUCGAGAGUCAAAGAAUAAAUAAAAAUCAGCUGGUUCAGUUUUCUUGUUUACAGAUGAGCCAACAGCAGGAGGGAGAGAUUAAAGUGAUUUGCUGGCUCAAGUCAGCAGUCACAGCACUGCAAUUACUUUGGAUGCUUGUUAUUUGGUUAUCCGACAUCAGCCAGGACUUCCCUGUAAUCUCCUUGAAGCCCUGGACUUCUCUCACCACUUGCAUGAAGAGACACAGGAAAAAAAAUACUUACCACACCAGUGUUUGGAAGCGAAGUUCCUGUUCAGGUCUGUGCCCACGCAGCGGUUGUUCUUGUGAGCAGAGCGGUUCUUCCUCCACAUUCGAUUCUAAAAGAACCAGAGGGGGACAAGGCUAUCUAGCAUCCUGCUGGAGCAUCCCGUCUCUGUCACAGUCCCCAUCUCCAGCCAGAUCCCGGUCAUACUCAUUCAAACUGUUAGCCUGAGCCUAACAAAGGAAUGCUAUCUUGUUGUGACAUUUUUGAGAAUUCUGGGAUUUUGGUUAAGAAGGUGCUUUUAUUUUAACCCCAGGUGUGAGGAUGUGGGGCUGCUUCAGACCGUCCAAAGCAGCUGACUAUGAUUUGCCUCGUGCUCUAGCAGAGAUGCAGUUUUGCCAGCUGCAGAUAGUUUCUGCGACUGUGUGGCAUUGGGAAUUCUGGGAACUUUUGAGAGGGUUUAUAAAUGCUGCAUAAAUGAGAGGCAGGAUUGGUGUUUGUUUUUUUUUUUUUUUUUUUUUUGUCUUUGGUGGGUGGAAGUGAUGGUUGCAUUUUGUUAGUUAUGCUCAAAGAAGAAACAAAAGGAAAGAAAUUAGAUUCAGGGAUUCAUUCUCUCUCUAUAUAUAUAUAUAUCUAUCUCUCUAUCUAUCUCUAUCUCUCUAUCUCUCCCUCCCCUCUAUCCUUCUUUCUUUCCUAUUUAGUGAUAGAGGGUGAAAUGGGGCCAGGGAUAAAGGGUGGAAAAAGGAGAACCCACAAAGUAGCAAAGACCAGCUACCAUAGCUCAUGGGUUUUAGCCUAUUCAAGUAUAAAAAUUCAUUUAGUUCCGCUAAGCAGCACCCUGGCCUUCUUAUUGAGCCCUGUCUCCUUUAGACUUAUUUCACGGACAAGCUUAUUUUGAACUCCUUCAAAGAAAAGUAAAAUAGCUUGUAACUCAGCU